UUUUGCAGCCAAAGACUUCAGCUCAGAGGGUGUUUUAUAACAAAGGCAUGAGAAGGGUUGGCAAUGAAUCUGAACCUAAGUUUAUGACUGAAAGGACACAGGGUUUUAAGAAAUGGGGAAAAGAUUACACAACCGCAUCUCAAUUACAGGAAGGAUUCCAAACCAGUAUACCUUUAAGUACAUCUAAUUCAGGAAAAAGGAAAACAAGCUAGUGUCAACAAAAGAUGCAAAAAUGGCUUAUCUUCUAUGGCUUCAGACUCAAUUAUAACUACGCAAGAGUUCAUCGAAAAUGAACCGAGUCAAGUGAACUUAGCACAAAACUCCAUCAACUGAAUGAUCUUCACACAAGACUUUAGCAAAGAUUGUGUUUUGAGCAAAACUUCAAAUGUUCUUUUUCAACAAUUGCAAUGAUUAUUAUGAUAUUUUGGUUCCAUGGGUUAAUUGUA